GACGAACGCUGGCGGCGUGCUUAACACAUGCAAGUCGAACGGAAAGGCCCUGCUUUUGUGGGGUGCUCGAGUGGCGAACGGGUGAGUAACACGUGAGUAACCUGCCCUUGACUUUGGGAUAACUUCAGGAAACUGGGGCUAAUACCGGAUAGGAGCUCCUGCUGCAUGGUGGGGGUUGGAAAGUUUCGGCGGUUGGGGAUGGACUCGCGGCUUAUCAGCUUGUUGGUGGGGUAGUGGCUUACCAAGGCUUUGACGGGUAGCCGGCCUGGGAGGGUUGCCGGCCACAUUGGGACUGCGAGACGGCCCAGACUCCUACGGGAGGCAGCAGUGGGGAAUAUUGCACAAUGGGCGGAAGCCUGAUGCAGCAACGCCGCGUGCGGGAUGACGGCCUUCGGGUUGUAAACCGCUUUCGACUGUGACGAAGCGUGAGUGACGGUAAUGGGUAAAGAAGCACCGGCUAACUACGUG
rnacentral:rRNA from 1 species